CCGGCAUCCAGAAGGAGGGCGUGUGGAACCUUCUCUGAAAUGAGUACAGCAGCUGCUAACAUUUUCAACCAUGACACGUCCCGUAGCCGCGAGCCUUCCGGCUACAUAAGAAUGAUGUCCCUCACCACCUCUGCAGGCCGUGAAUACCUUCAGGUCAAUACUUCAUUUUUGACAGUUGUGGGGAGGUGUGAGCUAAAAGAAGGAUAGUUAUUACCCUAAAAAGGGUUCAACAUAUCAAUUCGUGUGUGUGUGUGUGUGUGUGUGCGUGUGUGUGUGUGGACUGGGACUCUUUUGCAUGUUCCUCUUCAUCUCAGAUACCUGCCGUCAUCGGCGAGCUGAGCCGAUCUCUGAUCUCAGCUCAGGAAAGGACUCAUUCAGUAUCCUGCAGACGUCGGCUCAUAAAUAUGAAACAUCUUUGAUGGUAUCGGGGCAGCUCUGUUGUGGGAGCAGCUCAGUCCGACACUGUUUGGACCGAUAAAGCCCUCGCGCUCGGCCGUCCCGCUUCCCAACCGUUCCGAUCCACUUUUUAUUUAAAUCGGCCUUCCGGGAGUUACCGGGCAGCCGCUUCUCAGAAUCAAUCAAAGAUGGUCGCAUGUGAAAAUAAAAUGCGACAUUAUGGGCAGGAAAGACAAACAAAGGUGGCUGUUUCCCAUCAGCGAGGAGUGAGAAGGUCGCAUAUCUGACAGCUUUGGUCGGCACCCCCGGCAUUACCGGUGGUCAUUACACAUGCAAAUGCCGUCCGCAGAGGUGUUUUAUGACACCUGCUCCUGUUUUCUAGGACAGCCUUGUCAAACGUCCCACGGAAGACUUGCAAAUCAAGAUGGAAAACAAGGGCUGGGCGGACAGAUGGAAUCUCUGCCCCCCGUAACACCGAAGUCUGCGUGUUUAAUGGACGCCGUUGGAGCUUAAGAAGCUCCGCGCGGAGCUGACGCGUCUGUAAACAGGAGCCUGCCUGCGCUACAGCUCCAACAUGCACAGACUUGCAUCUGCAGAGCCUUUCGGGGAGGAGAAGAGAAGAAGAGGAGAAACUCAAACUGGGAGCGUUGUGUUCCUCUUUUCAACUCGUGGUUUCCAAACAUACUUUGGUCUUUUUUGGCAACAGAGAGUCCAUAUUGUAAGUAUGCGCUCCGACGUGGCUUUAAGCUUUUGAGGCUUGUUUUUCUGACACUAAAGUUUGGAACGCUUCCCUUCUCCUCUGCUCCGUCUCCUCCUGCCUUCAGGACGGACUUUUGACGUGUCCGGCCAAGCAGCACAUCGCUAACACAACCUGGACGCUCGUGCUAAUCCAGUAGUUGUAAGUGUUUGUGAUGGCGCCUCUGUGAUCCGCAGUUUGUAUUGGAAGUUUCUCCCUUUGUGCCGCUCUGUUCGGCUCAGAACGCCUCCAGCGCUCUUCCUCUUCCUUCCUUUUCCUUCCGACAGCGACGCGAAAAAAAAAUCCAGCGCGAGUUCUUUGAGCGCUGUCUGCACGGCCCUCGAUCCGGUUGGAAAUAAAAGGGAUGACAGCUCUGGGGCACAUUGUCUCAGCUCUCUUUUGUUCUGAGAGACUUUCUGAUUACCUUUUGCUCCAGAACUCAGAGCUGCUCUCUCUGCAGUACCCUGAUCAAUCUGAUGUUUCAACAACGGGGCGGCAGAAUUAGCCGCAAUGGCUGUUUAAGAAAGGAUCCUGGCAGCGCUUGGACCUGAUCUCCACUGCAGACUUUCAUUUAAUGCAGACGUGUGUGUCCGCGGUGCUGUGAGCUGUGUGAGGUCAGACCUGCCUCAGAAAGCUACAGAUUUCUGAACGAGGGCAAAAAUCAUAUCAGACUCUGAUGUGACCGCACGUGGGAGCUGCUUCCACGUUCUGAUCCGAUAUUAACACGUUCGGCAUCAGCGCCGACACACAGACACAAUCUAUACACACUUAUUCUGCUGUGCUCAGUUUGACAUUUGACCUUUGACCUCUCCUAUGUUCAAUUCUGAUUCAGUCAACCCCAUCUGACAUCUAGCUUUGAAACCCCUCCUGGGCUACCACCUUAUCGUGGUGGAGGGGUUUGCGUGUCCCAAUGAUCCUAGGAGCUCCGCCUGGGGCUUUAUGCUCCUGGUAGGGCCACCCAUGGCAAACAGGUCCUAGGUGGGGGAACAAGUUUCCCUUGCCUGGAUGCGGGUCACCGGGGGCCCCUCCUGGAGCCAGGCCUGGGGGCGGGGCACGUUGGCGAGUGCC
ensembl:lncRNA